ACGAACGCUGGCGGCGUGCUUAACACAUGCAAGUCGAACGGGAUCCGGGCUUUCGGGUUUGGUGAGAGUGGCGAACGGGUGAGUAACACGUGAGUAACCUGCCCCCUUCUUUGGGAUAACGUCGGGAAAUCGGCGCUAAUACUGGAUAUUCUUGCUGCAUCGCAUGGUGUGGUUUGGAAAGGGUUUCUGGUGGGGGAUGGGCUCGCGGCCUAUCAGCUUGUUGGUGGGGUGAUGGCCUACAAAGGCUUUGACGGGUAGCCGGCCUGAGAGGGUGUCCGGCCACACUGGGACUGAGACACGGCCCAGACUCCUACGGGAGGCAGCAGUGGGGAAUAUUGCACAAUGGGCGCAAGCCUGAUGCAGCGACGCCGCGUGAGGGAUGACGGCCUUCGGGCUGUAAACCUCUUUCAGUAUGGAACAAGGAUCCUUCGUUUGGGGGGUUUGAGGGUACGUGCAGAAGAAGCGCCGGCUAACUACGUG
rnacentral:rRNA from 1 species